GUGGAGUUGGAUCCGGGUCCGGGGGGUUCAGCAUCGCCUGGUGCGUGCAUAUGCAUGUGAGGUGUUGCAAGUCCUCAGCUCCAACCAUGUUGGCGCAUUGGCCCUCUGCAACAAUGGAGGCAUCGCGGCCUUCGCCAGCCUGCUGGGACGCACUCACAACCCUCACACCCUGGAGAAGAUCACCGGCACGCUGUGGAACCUGUCGUGCCACGAGCCUCUGAGGGCUGCGCUGGUGGAGCUCUGCCUCCCGGCGCUGGUGGAGCUCGUGCUGGUGCCAGAGAGCGGCUGGAGGAGCAACGUUGGAGACAAACCCUCCUCACCGUCCUCACCCAGCUCGCCCGUCUCACCCUCCUCACUCAGCUCGCCCGCCUCGCCUUCCGCGGCGUUC